GUGCGGUUGGCGCAGUGGUCAACGCGUUCGCUCCCUAAGCGAAAGGCCUGGGUUCGACUCCCAGACCGCACA